AAGUUCUCGCUGCUAGAACGGAAGGGCGCAAGGCAGUAAUUUCGCCCAGGGCGGCAACAUGGGCAGAACCGCCACUGGUUGCCGCUUGCACAAAUUUGCCCAUGAACAAAAAACUGUUCAUCCCAGGAACUGAAGAAGAUAUUGAGUCCACAGUGUGUUUUCUUCACAUCUAGCCCUCUGCGAACUUCAACUUCGAUGAUGCCUGAGGCCUCUGAAAUUCAGGAUUUGCUGGACAGCAUUCAACACAGUAAGACCAAGCAGAUGGAUUCGGCUGCUUCUUCUCUCUCUGCUGUGACUCUGAGCCUGCCCAGGCCGGCAGAGAUGGGGUACCUGAACUUGACCUCCCCAAAGAGCCACUCUGAACACUUGGUUCCUUCUGGCUUCCCCUGCAGCACAGACGAUAGCUGUUCCUGAGGUUUCUGUCCAGCCCCAACAUAAAUGCACAGAAAACUUGUAUUGUAAUUUAUACAUAAAUAAAUUAACAAAACCAUUACCUUUGUUGGAGUGCA